AACAUCAUCAUUUUUAUCAUUCCCACAAUUCAAUCAAAUUUCAUGGGUUUAACAUCAACAUUUUCUUCAUUCCUACCAUUCAAUCGAAUUUCAUGGGUUUAACAUCAACAUUUUCAUCAUUCCCACAAUUCAAUCAAAUUUCAUGGGUUAAACAUCACAUUUUCAUCAUUUCCAUAAUUCAAUCAAAUUUCAUAGGUUUAACAAAAACGUUUUCAUCAUUCACACAAUCCAAUCAAAUUUCAUAGGUUUAACAACAACAUUUUCAUCAUGCACACAAUUCAAUUAAAUUUCAUGGGUUUAACAACAACAUUUUCAUCAUUCACACAAUUCAAUCAAAUUUCGUGGGUUUAACAUCAACAUUUUCAUCAUUCCCACAAUUCAAUCAAAUUUCAUGGGUUUAGCAACACCAUUUUCAUCAUUCACACAAUUCAAUCAAAUUUCAUGGGUUUAACAGAAUCAUUUUCAUCAUUCCCACAAUUCAAUCAAAUUUCAUGGGUUUAACCUCACAUUUUCAUCAUUCCCACAAUUCAUUCAAAUUUUAUGGGUUUAACAAUAACAUUUACUUUAUUCACACAAUUCAAUCAAAUUUCAUGGGUUUAACAUCAACAUUUUCAUCAUUCCCAUAAUUCAAUCAAAUUUCAUGGGUUUAACAACAACAUUUUCAUUAUUCACACAAUUCAAUCAAAUUUCAUGGGUAUAACAUCAACAUUUCAUCAUUUCCAUAAUUCAAUCAAAUUUCAUAGAUUUAACAACAACGUAUUCAUCAUUCACACAAUCCAAUAUAAUUUCCUAUGUUUACCAACAUCAUUUUCAUCAUGCACACAAUUCAAUUCAAUUUCAAGGGUUUAACAACAACAUUUUCAUCAUUCCCACAAUUCAAUCAAAUUUCAUGGGUUUAACAUCAUCUUUUUCAUUAUUCCCACAAUUCAAUCAAAUUUCAUGGGUUUAACAUCAUCAUUUUUAUCAUUCCCAUAAUUCAAUCAAAUCUUAUGGGUUUAAAAAUAAUAUUUUCGUUAUUCACACAAUUCACUCAAAUUUCAUGGGUUUAACAACAACAUUUUCAUUAUUCAUACAAUUCAAUCAAAUUUCAUGAGUUUAACAUCCACAUUUCAUCAUUUCAACAAUUCAAUCAAAUUUCAUAAGUUUAACAACAAUGUUUUCAUCAUUCACACAAUCCAAUCAAAUUUCCUAGGUUUACCAACAUUUUCAUCAUGCACACAAUUCAAUUAAAUUUCAAGGGUUUAACAACAACAUUUUCAUCAUUCCCACUAUUCAAUCAAGUUUCAUGGGUUUAACAUCAUCAUUUUCAUCAUUCCUACAAUUCAAUCAAAUUUCAUGGGUUUAACAUCAUCAUUUUUAUCAUUCCCACAAUUCAAUCAAAUUUCAUGGGUUUAACAUCAACAUUUUCAUCAUUCCUACCAUUCAAUCGAAUUUCAUGGGUUUAGCAUCAAGAUUUUCAUCAUUCCCACAAUU